AGCACUCACACAAACUGAAGGGCCCGGUCUCACUCCUACCGUGCCCCCCACAACAGCCCUGAGUCUGUUUCCAGGUGGUGGGCGAGAGGGGUUUGAAAAUUUGCCCCAGGCUAUCCGCCUCCCAGCUGGGCAAGAAAAGGGCGUGGUUGUUCCCCCACUGAGGAGUCUGCACACCGGAUUUGCAUCUUCCCCUGAGUUCUGGCCUGGAGGCUUCUCGCCCCUGCAAAUUGUUACAAAGUUCAGCUAGAGGGUUCCUUCUUCCUGUGGAGUUUUACCUUCUGCUCCUCUGGCCACCCUCCUGAUGGAUCCCUGUGGUGCCAGGCAGGAAUGACCUGCUUAAGGACCCAGCGAGCUCCCAGGACCUUUCUGCUGCUUCCUCUACCCGUAUAUUUUGCUUGCUUCUCUACAUUGACUCAGCUCCAGCGAUUCCUGAGGAAUCUCAUCCACACUACCCUAUGGACUAAAAGGAAAAGCUCUUCAUGUGGUGUUAGCACGGAGAUGAGAAAGAGAGAAAGACAACAUCAUGCUUUGCUGUCUGUGUGUGAACUGAGUAACAGCUGUGAAGGAUCAGUCACCAAAAGACUUUGAAAGAAGAGGCUUGAUUGGUCACGGUAAUGAUGCUCCCCUGGUUGUUUCCGUAUUUUGGCUAUUGUGAAUAGUGCUGCAAUAAACAUGGAAGUGCUGAUAUAUCUUUGAGAUCUUGACUUCAAACAAAAGAAGAAAAUCUUGCAAUAUAUGACAACACGGAUUAACCUGGAGGACAUUGUGCUUAGUGAAGUUAGCCAGUCACAGACUGACAAGUACUGCACGAUUCCACUUAUAUGAUGCCACUGAAAGGUAAACAUACCAUUCUGACAUGCAUGAAAAUGAAACGACAAAUUGAUACACGCAGUGCUUGGAAUGGAUGGAGUCCUUCUAAUGAGUGAUUACCUGUGGUAUAACUAUAUUGAUUGUGUUUGUACAUGUCAAAUGGGGCUGGCGAGGAUGAACUUGAAGAAAUCAAUCUUGGAACCUGCUAGGACAGCAGCCUCCUGGUUUCACAGUACUAAAUCAUGACUUCAAAAUUUUGAAGUAAAAGAAAACUGCAAAACUUUGUAAAGGUACCAGUCUCUUCCUGACACUAUUUGCCUUGGCAAAAGAUUCACUGUCAACUUAAAAGACUAACAUGUGCUCAGAUGAUGAUUUGUGGAGGACAGAUAAUUAUGAGUACAUUUAGAAAUACACACUCUUCCAAACCCUGCUCUUUCCAUAUAAUGAAGUUAUUUAUUUCUAUUUUUUAUUUAUUUUUCUAAUAAUUACAAACAUACUUUGGAGACCCACAUUCCUGUAUUAUUCUUUCAACAUACUGAAGAAGAGUUAUUUCUAUGCUUCUUUCUAUGUGUUGGGCUUAAGAUUUAUUAGAAGGAAUGUGUAAAAACAAAGGCAGCAAAGUUUCUAUUUUUAUUGGGAGUCACUCCCGGAGUAAGUGGGGAUAGUUGUGCACACACACACACACACAUUCAUGCACAAAGAAAGAGUGAUCAAGUGUAUAACACACUUUUAGCAGUGUUUUGCUGGAAGAAUAAAGUAUAACUCCUUGUCCGCCCUUUUAUUAUACUGGGGUUCACACUAAGAGAGUCUGAGGACCUGUGGAACUCCCAUUUGCAUGAAAUAACUUUUGCAUCUAUUCUGGAGGAAAACUUCCUAAGGCAGAUUUGGACAGAAAAUUGCUAUCAGCGCAAAUAAAACAAUGCAAAGCCUACUCCGGGGAACGUUGCUCUGCCACCACUACUGAAAUGGGUCAUCCCCUUGGUUUCUGAAUAAAGAAUUAUGAAACCUGGGGCUAGAAUGCUCAGGGAGGAAUUUACCAAUCCAAAUCUUCCCCUUAUGGUAGAGAACAAACUUUCAAGGUUUGUUCUCCACUGUAAGUGUGCGAGGGCUGUUAGGGACCGUAAUAUGGCUGCCGGAGACUGGUGUGUGUACCUCCUUGACUGUACGUCUCAUUUCCAGUUAUGAUUUUACAAUCAUCUCUUUCUCAACCUUUGCUUUUAAAUAUAGGAAGGUACGGCUCACCAUGGAGCGGACAUUUUCUUCAGGAGCGGUACGGUGUCUAAGAUAUGCAGAGGUUGUAUUCUAGUCCUAUAACUCAAUUCUCAAACACAUGGCUUUUAGCCAGGGAUAUCCUAAAGGAAAAUUACACUAUAUGCAACCCCUCCUUACUCCUCAAAUAUUAUCUAUAUUAAACACAGCUGAAAUUUGAGAGUGUCCUUACAGGUGAAAAUUUAACAAUUUAACAAAAGGACACUGCUGAAUGUGUGGGGACAAAGGAAGGAUGAAUCUUUCAUCAUGACAAAAGACUACUUGCCACAUUCUCCCUUAACUUAGAAAAACAGAAAAGAGGCUGGGCGUGGUGGCUCCUGCCUGUAACCUCAGCACUUUGGGAGGCUGAGAUGGGUGGAUCAUUUGAGGUCAGGAGUUCGAGACCAGCCUGGCCAACAUGGUGAAACCCCGCCUCUACUAAAAAAUUCAAAAACUAGCCAGGCAUGGUGGCGGGUGCCUGUAGUUCCAGCUACUCAGGAGGCUGAGGCAGGAGAAUCUCCUGAACCCAGGAGGCGGAGGUUGCAGUGAGUCGAGAUCACACCACUGCACUCCAGCAACAGAGCAAGGCUCUGUCUGUCUCAAAA
rnacentral:lncRNA from 1 species